rnacentral:rRNA from 1 species
GACGAACGCUGGCGGCGUGCUUAACACAUGCAAGUCGAACGGGAUGUCGUAAACAGUAACCUCCUUGGGAUAUUACUGAUGAGAGGGGCGAACGGUGGAUUACCGCCUUAUCAACCUGCCUAUGACAGUGGAAUAGCCUCGUGAAACCGGGAUUUAUACUGCAUAAAAUCGUACAAACACAUGAUUUAACGGUCAAAGAUUUAUCGGUCAUAGAUGGGCUCGCGUCUGAUUAUCUAGUUGUUGAGAUAACAGCACACCAAGGCGACGAUCAGUAGACGGUAUGAGAGGAUGAACGGACACACUGGAACUGAGACACGGUACAAACUCCUCCGGGAGGCAGCAGUGGGGAAUAUUGCAACAUGGGGGAAAUCAUGAUGCAGCGACGACGCGUGAACGAAGAAGGUAUUCGUAUCGUAAAGUUCUGUUAUAUGGGAAGAUAAUGACAGUACCAUAGAAGAAAGCUCCGGCUAACUACGUG